GAUGAACGCUGGCGGCGUGCCUAAUACAUGCAAGUCGAGCGAACAGACGAGGAGCUUGCUCCUCUGACGUUAGCGGCGGACGGGUGAGUAACACGUGGAUAACCUACCUAUAAGACUGGGAUAACUUCGGGAAACCGGAGCUAAUACCGGAUAAUAUAUUGAACCGCAUGGUUCAAUAGUGAAAGACGGUUUUGCUGUCACUUAUAGAUGGAUCCGCGCCGCAUUAGCUAGUUGGUAAGGUAACGGCUUACCAAGGCAACGAUGCGUAGCCGACCUGAGAGGGUGAUCGGCCACACUGGAACUGAGACUCGGUCCAGACUCCUACGGGAGGCAGCAGUAGGGAAUCUUCCGCAAUGGGCGAAAGCCUGACGGAGCAACGCCGCGUGAGUGAUGAAGGUCUUCGGAUCGUAAAACUCUGUUAUUAGGGAAGAACAAAUGUGUAAGUAACUAUGCACGUCUUGACGGUACCUAAUCAGAAAGCCACGGCUAACUACGUG
rnacentral:rRNA from 1 species